GGGAGGGAGACGCGGGCUAGUUGACGCGCGGCCUCACCAAUCUUGGCGCCAUCCCGGCCGUCCGAUCCGGUCCACCGGCUGCACGGCGUCAACGGCUCUGCGUGAGCUGAUGGAUGCGUUGCCGGGGUGAUCUCCAACAGGUGCACAUGUCAAACUAAAGAAAUGAGAUGUGAUGGUUUCUUCCAUGUCUAUGUAUCAAUUCUUAGAUUUUCUCUUCUAACUAGAUUUUUAAUUUGAGUAGGAUAAUUCAUAGAUAGCGAUGGUAUAAUUUGGUUGAAUCACAAUAUAAUUGUUAUGAAAACUUAACAAGAAGAGUCUCGAAGUUUUUGUUAUUACUCCAUUAUAGUUCAUUGAAUUCAACAAACAACAGCCAAACGAAACAUUAUGACCAAUAUAAAAUUCUACUCUUGCUUUCCAUUCUAGUGAAAAAAUUAUCAAGAUUGUUAUCCUAUUGGAUAAACAACGAAUUAAACACAUACCGUCACAGCCUUGAUUCAAAUGUAGUGCUUCAAGCCUUCAGAAAAAAAUUAAAGAUGGGAUUAAGCCUUCGAACCAUAAACUUUUCAUCAAACAAAUGAGGGGAGAGAGAAGAGAUACAUCAAUGGCACAAGCCAAACCAUAAAUAGAACGAAUCGAUGGAGAGAAGGAUGGGGAUAAAUGGGUGGAAGGGAAAGGAUGGGAGGGGAAGUAGGGUUCAGCUCCACCGUCAAACUCGCAAAUUGCAUGGCAGAACAAUGCAUCCAUGUGUAACUCAACUCG
rnacentral:lncRNA from 1 species